rnacentral:rRNA from 1 species
AGGUGACCUACGGAAGGAUCAUUA